UCUCCGUUGGUGAACCAGCGGAGGGAUCAUUAUCGAGUUUAUAACUCCCAAACCCUAUGUGAACUUACCACUUGUUGCUUCGGCGCGCGCUUCGGUGCCGCCGAGGACACUUAAACUCUUUGUUUUUAUAAGCAUUUCUGAGUGGCCGAAAGGCAAAAUACAAAUGAAUCAAAACUUUCAACAACGGAUCUCUUGGUUCCG
rnacentral:misc_RNA from 1 species